ensembl:lncRNA
CUGGAAUUAAAACGAGCAGCUCAGCCUGAUUAAUGAUUCGUUUCUGUCACAGCUCCUGAAGCAUGAGAAAAGAUAAAAUGGAGACCUGGAACAUUGCCCUGCCUCUGGUUUUGACAAGGAGGUCAUCAUCGCUUGCCUUGCCUUGCCUACACUCAGGACACCGUGGCUCCUCCCACAUAAUGCCCACCUCGAGACCGUUGACACUUUAUGGACGUUCUUUCAGGACCAGGACCCAAUUUUGGGGAGCUGUAUUUAAAGCCAGGAUAUUUUGACAAGCAGAACUGCAUUGCGUCUCAUUAUUUAACUUUCCAGGUGAAAGACACAUGCAGGACAUACAGUCAGCUCCGGAAUUAAUGGUACCCUUGGUAUAAGAUGGAUAAAAUAUACGAUUGUAAAGACUUCAUAGCAAAUUUGUUUAAUCACACACUGAAAAUAAAUAUGAGGGAAAUCUAACCUUUAACUGAAGUAAAUUUAUAAGUAUUUUUAAAUUACAAGGGUGCCAAUAUUUUUGGAGCUGGUUGGACGCCCCAUAUGUGUCUUUCAGCUGGGAAAUAAUUAAAUAUAAUGUCAAUGUCAUUUAAAAACACAUUCAAGG